ACGCUACGUUCAGAGUUUGAUCCUGGCUCAGGAUGAACGCUAGCUACAGGCUUAACACACGCAAGUCGAGGGGCAGCAUGGGCUUAGCUUGCUAAGCCCGAUGACGACCGGCGCACGGGUGAGUAACACGUAUCCAACCUUCCGGUUACUCGGGGAUAGGCUUUCGAAAGAAAGAUUAAUACCCGAUGUUGUGUAUCUUUCUCCUGAAAGAUACGCCAAAGGAUUCCGGUAACCGAUGGGGAUGCGUUCCAUUAGGCAGUUGGCGGGGUAACGGCCCACCAAACCUUCGAUGGAUAGGGGUUCUGAGAGGAAGGUCCCCCACAUUGGAACUGAGACACGGUCCAA
rnacentral:rRNA from 1 species